rnacentral:rRNA from 1 species
GAUGAACGCUGGCGGCGUGCCUAAUACAUGCAAGUCGAGCGAACAGACGAGGAGCUUGCUCCUAUGAGAUUAGCGGCGGACGGGUGAGUAACACGUGGAUAACCUACCUAUAAGCCUGGGAUAACUUCGGGAAACCGGAGCUAAUACCGGAUAAUAUAUUGAACCGCAUGGUUCAAUAGUGAAAGACGGUUUUGCUGUCACUUAUAAAUGGCCCCGAGCCGCAUUAGCUGGUUGGUAAGGAAACGGCUUACCAAGGCAAGGAUGCGUAGCCGACCGGAGAGGGUGAUCGGCCACACUGGAACUGAGACACGGCCCAGAAUCCUACGGGAGGCAGCAGUAGGGAAUCUUGGGCAAUGGGCGAAAGCUUGACGGAGCAACGCCGGGUGAGUGAUGAAGGUCUCCGGAUCGUAAAACCCUGUUAUUAGGGAAGAACAAAUGUGUAAGUAACUAUGCACGUCUUGACGGUACCUAAUCAGAAAGCCACGGCUAACUACGUG